rnacentral:rRNA from 1 species
UACGAAGGGGGCAAGCGUUGUUCGGAAUUACUGGGCGUAAAGGGAGUGUAGGCGGUUUAGUAAGAUAGUGGUGAAAUCCCAGGGCUUAACUUUGGAAUUGCCAUUAUAACUAUUAGACUAGAAUUACAGAGAGGAUAGUGGAAUACCCAGUGUAGAGGUGAAAUUCGUAGAUAUUGGGUAGAACACCAGUGGCGAAGGCGACUAUCUGGCUGUAUAUUGACGCUGAGGCUCGAAAGCAUGGGGAUCAAACAGC